AUGUGACAGUAGAUGAGAAUGGAGUGUACUACUGUGCAAAGAAAGAAAGUGAUAGUCUCCUAUUCAGCAAUGGAACCAGACUCAUGACCACUGGUAAGUGCACAUUUUAUUCAAUGAUCAACAUACUAUAUUUUGUGUAAAAUAUAAUUUUGAGAAGUGUUUUUGUUCAUGUUUAAAGCAGCAAGGUGCAAGACCACUACAGACAUUUUACAUCCACUUUGAGUAACAUAACUCAAAGUGGAUGUAGGCUAUACAUAUUUUCCAUAACCUUGCAGGUCUCAAAUCAAUCAAUGAAACAAGAAACACAAGUUUGAAGCUCCUUGAUCCUGAAGCCUCAGAGAAACCCAGAGACUUCAACACAAUGUGGCUAAAAGGUCUUCUCAUUGGAUCCGGGGUCUUGAAUGCAGUUCUCAUUUUAUUGGCGUCAGCCAUUUUAGUGCUGUGGAAGAGAGCUGCUUGGCACAAGAACCAUGACUCUCAUCCAACCCCUGAACCACCUGAAAGGGCAGACGGGCCAGAGUAUGAAGUGAUACAGCUGGUACCCCAACCGAUAGGACCAAGGCCAGACUGCAUAGCCUCAACUAUUUAUUCCAGAGUUCAGUUUCCAAAUCCUGAACUCACAACUCCUGCUUAAUAAGGUGCCAAAUCUGUAUCUACCCUUCCUCUUCAGUCUGGGUUUAACAUAUCUGGGCUGUUAUGAUAAUAGUUAUGACUUUGGUGGAUAAUGUGAACUACAAUAUGACUUUGGUAGAUAAUGUUAAUCAACUGUGAAUAUUAAUAUCUUUGUAUACAGUAUCUAAUGCUGCUCUUUGUCACUAUGGUCUUUAUACCAGCCAGCAAUAUCUUUCAAGGAAAUUGUUACUUUUGUGUCUUGAUUCAUGUUUUUCAUUGUUCAUUGCUGGAAAUAAGUUUUCAUU